UGCCGCGAAGACUUGCGCGCAGGCGCGGUUCCGCCUUCUCGUCGAAGCAGGCCAGGUGGCGGGGAGUCAUGGCGGCCUCUGUCUGGCCCGAACGCGACGAGCAGUCUCGGGUGUUUGGUGCUGGCUUUUCUUCGUCGUCUGCGGAGACCGCGAGCUGCAGACCUGCAGGUUGAAGUUUAAAAGCGACGGAUGGAGCCCUGAAACGGGUACAGUCCCAGCCUCGGUUUCUGAGGCUGAAAAAGGACCCUCCAGAAGUAGCUGCCGGCGGCGACGUGUCUGAAGAGGCUUUCUGAUGUCCGCAGCGUGUGAGUACGGGACUGCUUCUCCUCAAGUUCUCUCCCCAGUGAUGCCAAGUUCUGUGCCAGUUACUAAUGCCUGUGAAGCAAUUCCCCCCUGCCCCCCCGCCAAAGGAGAGCGACUUCAGAGUUGUUUGGACUUCGUCUCCAAAAAGCAGCCAAAGGCUAUGAGUGACUUUAUCCCGGAAAAUAUUUGGCAGUUGGUCAAAUCAGGGCAUAGCUAAAAUUCGCUCAUUGGCGAGAAUGCGGCGGCGGUGGACGGAAGGCGGUUAACGUGUACACGUUCUGUUCGAGGAAACUGAGGGGACGCAGGUGUUCAGCCUCGGAAGAACGUUUCAUCAGGGUGGAUUUCCUGUGAAGUUCUGUCUUGGGCUUAAAUUUUGAAGUACAAAUAAAAGUGUUUAAAAACGG